AGUUUGAUCCUGGCUCAGGAUGAACGCUAGCUACAGGCUUAACACAUGCAAGUCGAGGGGCAUCAGGAAGAAAGCUUGCUUUCUUUGCCGGCGACCGGCGCACGGGUGAGUAACACGUAUCCAACCUGCCCUUUACUCGGGGAUAGCCUUUCGAAAGAAAGAUUAAUACCCGAUAGUAUAAUGAUUCCGCAUGGUUUCAUUAUUAAAGGAUUCCGGUAAAGGAUGGGGAUGCGUUCCAUUAGGUUGUUGGUGAGGUAACGGCCCACCAAGCCUUCGAUGGAUAGGGGUUCUGAGAGGAAGGUCCCCCACAUUGGAACUGAGACACGGUCCAAACUCCUACGGGAGGCAGCAGUGAGGAAUAUUGGUCAAUGGGCGCUAGCCUGAACCAGCCAAGUAGCGUGAAGGAUGAAGGCUUCUAUGGGUCGUAAACUUCUUUUAUAUAAGAAUAAAGUGCAGUAUGUAUACUGUUUUGUAUGUAUUAUAUGAAUAAGGAUCGGCUAACUCCGUGCCAGCAGCCGCGGUAAUACGGAGGAUCCGAGCGUUAUCCGGAUUUAUUGGGUUUAAAGGGAGCGUAGGUGGACUGGUAAGUCAGUUGUGAAAGUUUGCGGCUCAACCGUAAAAUUGCAGUUGAUACUGUCAGUCUUGAGUACAGUAGAGGUGGGCGGAAUUCGUGGUGUAGCGGUGAAAUGCUUAGAUAUCACGAAGAACUCCGAUUGCGAAGGCAGCUCACUGGACUGCAACUGACACUGAUGCUCGAAAGUGUGGGUAUCAAACAGGAUUAGAUACCCUGGUAGUCCACACAGUAAACGAUGAAUACUCGCUGUUUGCGAUAUACAGUAAGCGGCCAAGCGAAAGCAUUAAGUAUUCCACCUGGGGAGUACGCCGGCAACGGUGAAACUCAAAGGAAUUGACGGGGGCCCGCACAAGCGGAGGAACAUGUGGUUUAAUUCGAUGAUACGCGAGGAACCUUACCCGGGCUUAAAUUGCAGUGGAAUGAUGUGGAAACAUGUCAGUGAGCAAUCACCGCUGUGAAGGUGCUGCAUGGUUGUCGUCAGCUCGUGCCGUGAGGUGUCGGCUUAAGUGCCAUAACGAGCGCAACCCUUAUCUUCAGUUACUAACAGGUCAUGCUGAGGACUCUGGAGAGACUGCCGUCGUAAGAUGUGAGGAAGGUGGGGAUGACGUCAAAUCAGCACGGCCCUUACGUCCGGGGCUACACGCGUGUUACAAUGGGGGGUACAGAAGGCAGCUAGCGGGUGACCGUAUGCUAAUCCCAAAAUCCUCUCUCAGUUCGGAUCGAAGUCUGCAACCCGACUUCGUGAAGCUGGAUUCGCUAGUAAUCGCGCAUCAGCCACGGCGCGGUGAAUACGUUCCCGGGCCUUGUACACACCGCCCGUC
rnacentral:rRNA from 1 species